GCAUGUGCGGACGCUCGCCCCGGGCGCCUAACGCCGCCUGCUGGAAGUGAGCGCUCCUGGCUGAGGCGUCGUAGACAGCGCUGGAGGUCAGGGUCGGUUCCUACAAUCUGGGCUGUAAAACCCAAGGAUCAAGUUGACGUGGUGACUCAGGCCUACACCCCCAACAUUUUUGGGAGGCUGAAGCAGGAGACUCGCAAAUUCGAACCCAGACUGCGCAGCUCAGUGAGACCUCUCAAAAUAAAAAUACCAAAAAAAGGGCCACUACCAGGGUUUGAAGAAUGUACCUCAAAGUUCUGCUGUCAUGAAGCCUUGAUUUGGGAAGGAAAAUACUGAAAAACACUGCAUAACCAGAGACAGGUCAUGUGAGUCUUCCAGGGCUUAUUUGGAGAUUCUCUCCGGGGAGCAUAGCUGUGUGUGUACCCUUAAAUUUGGAUCUGUGAGAGAGGAGUAAUAAAUAUAGUUCCUGACAAGCCAGCCGGGCAGCGGUGAUCACAGUCGAACUGAGGACCUUGCACUUGCCAGGCAGGCGCGUACGCCGCUGAACGCUUAUCCCCGGCCCCCUGAGGCUUAUUUCUGGAAGGGCUUGGAGAACUACAGUGGAAAAACUAGUUGGUUGUGGAAUGUUAAAACAUGUAAAAUGUUAUUCACAGGAAAGUAAAAUACGUUGUGUUGGCAGUUAGGGAUAAUAGUCAUUGAUGUGUAUGACAACGUUAAGAUGCCAGGCUAAAGACUUCUAUUCAAAAUACAGCUGUCUCAAAAGAAAUGACUUAGAUUUCACAUUCAAUCUCCACACAGACUUGUUUUGGACCCGUUCUCCCAUCUCCUCUGCACUGUAGAUAUUGGGAUUGUGGGUCACAGCAAGAAGUGGAUUUUUUAGUUGAGUUUUUAAACAUUCCUCAUAAAUGUAAACUUGUACUAUUUAACUCAAUAUUCUUGAUGAAAACUCUUGUCAUAUGUAUAAAAAUAAAAAUCUCAAAUUAAAAAUAAAAAAUCUCUAUUCAAAAUUA